AUUGAACGCUGGCGGCAGGCCUAACACAUGCAAGUCGAACGAGUGGCGGACGGGUGAGUAAUGUCUGGGAAACUGCCUGAUGGAGGGGGAUAAAUACUGGAAACGGUAGCUCAUACCGCAUACCAUCGGAUGUGCACAGAUGGGCUUAGCUAGUAGGUGGGGUAAAGGCUCACCUGGGCGACGAUCCCUAGAUGGUCUGAGAGGAUGACCAGCCACACUGGAACUGAGACACGGGCCAGACUCCUACGGGAGGCAGCAGGGGGGAAGAGUGCACAAUGGGCGCAAGCCUGAUGCAGCCAUGCCGCGUGUAUGAAGAAGGCCUUCGGGUUGUAAAGCACUUUCAGCGAGGAGGCGUUACUCGCAGAAGAAGCACCGGCUAACUCCGUGCCAGCAGCCGCGGUAAUAC
rnacentral:rRNA from 1 species